CCUUGUACACACCGCCCGUCACGUCAUGGGAGUAGAUUGUACCAGAAGCAGGUAGUUUAACUGAAAAGGGGACGCUUGCCACGGUAUGGUUUAUGACUGGGACG
rnacentral:rRNA from 1 species